rnacentral:lncRNA from 10 species
UACUCAAAAGGCUGAGGCAGGAGAAUCGCUUGAACCCAGGAGGCAGAGGUUGCAGUGAGCCGAGAUUGCACCACUGCACUCCAGACUAGGUGACAGAGCAAGACUGUCUCAGAAAAGGCUGCAAACGGCUUCUAAGGGAAGACUUCAGGGAUGACUUCUGCUUCACCUUGGCUUCCCCAUCUGUCAUUAGAAACCCCAGUUACCUUCUUUUUAUAAUGCCCACCUGAUGUGCUUGAAGCAGAUUUUAGCAUUUAAAAUAUAAAAGGAUCCAGCCAGGCACGCUGGCCACAAAUGCAUUCUUAAGACAACUGAUGCUGUGAAAGACUCUACCUCUCUUCCCAAAGAGAGGGACCACAUGGCCCCACCAAUGAGGGACGCUGCCUCUUUGGGGAUUUCUCUCUGCCCUCUUCAAAGUACUGUCUCACUAGGAAAAUAAUAGCAAAGAAUGAGACAACUAGUUCCUGCCAAGCUAGACAGACAGUGUUGUAGACAAGACAUUGCCUGAGACCCCACAGAAUGACUGCCUCCUGGUGGUCCAGCUCCUAGAGAUACAAUGAAAUAAACUUUAUACCCAGUAAGGAUAAUUCUUAAAGGCUGUGAUCUCAGAGCAGAACCUUCAAAGACAUUCCAUAGUCAUCUGACCUCCAGCAGGUAAAGCUUUGUCCAUGGGUGCUAAGCUCAGGAGGCCAGACCAACCAAGUGCUGCCCUGCUAACCACUGCCUCCACUUCUGUCUUUGGGGUUCAUGCUGGCUACUAGCACUAAUAAGAGAUGACCAAUGAUCAAGAGGGAAAGGAAAGGUUGUUGACAUGAAGAGUCCAAAAAUCAGCCCAAAAGCUGAGAAUCCUCAUCUGAAAUUUAGGAGGGAAAACAAACUUUUGGAGAGAAAAAGUAAUCAUAAAUAAGCAUCUUUUGUUAAAACUUCCAGGAAUUUUUCUGAGGGUCUACAGAGACAUCCUACUCAAUUGGUC